AAUUUAUGAUGAGGACACAUUCUCAAAAGAUCCUUAAAUCUCUCCUAUGCAUCAUAUAAUGUCUCCAAAUCAAUUUGAGUAAAAGAAGAAAUAUCAUUCCACAACU
rfam:Gossypium hirsutum cultivar TM-1 chromosome 1, whole genome shotgun sequence